rnacentral:lncRNA from 1 species
GCCGCCGCCGCCACCCUCCCCGGAUCGCGCCACCACCGCCCACCGCUAGCUACUGCUGCCUCCACAGUCCUCCGCUAGCUGCCGCUGCAGUCCACCGCCAGCUCAAGCAGGGGAGGCAGUACUUAUCCGGCUACCCCUGCGUCACCUGUUGCCACACUGAACAGCGUCCGGACACCACCACGGAUUGCCCCUGGUGCUGCUCGAACUUCUCCACGCGGGCGACUGGUCGCUCGAACUUCCCCUUGCGAGCCAUUGUGGGCCUCUGUAAACUCUCAUGGCGGCUCCUCCUCCGUUGUAGUACAAGCGAGGUCAACUACAGCUCGAUGGAGACGCAAAAAUUGGUGGUAUGCACUAACACAAAUCCUCCAGGCUGCCUGUAUCGUUAGCGGCAGAAGCUAGUUCAGUUACGAGUUCUGACAUAUGCUAGAGGAAUUUCCUUCAAUCCAAACUGAGCAGAGCUUGUGGCAUCUCUUUCUUAUUUUUCCGUGUGAAAAAUUGUGAGAAGGAAGGAAUUGUCUCGCUAGAUGAGCAGUUCCAGUUUAGUUCUUCCUACAGAUUCUUCAAUUUUUAUUUCCCAAGUAUUAUAUUCUCUUAGAUAUUAGAUUAGUACUCUGUCUUGCAAGCAAGGAUGCUCUGAAAAAUCAAACACGUGAUGCUUGAUACACCAUGGCUCAAGUUCUCUGCAAAUUUUGUUGAAGGUCAUCGGCCUGUCCUAGCGAACGGACGUGCUGUACGCCUUGGCCGUCUCUUUCCUGGUGACGAGCGUGACGGUGACGCCGCAUCCCGCAUUACAACCUGGCGCCACCCUCCGCCCGAACUAUGCCUGCAGUGCGUCUGAAGACCUCGUCCGCCCUUGAGCACCUGUUCCACGCAAUCAGACGCACAUACACAGACACAUCUGUACCCCAUAUACUUGAGCUCCAGAGCUUCUGAACUCUCUGAAUUUGUGUGCAUGUUUUCUUUAUUCUAUCAUUGCAUACCUCCACCACUGAAUUUGAAAAUUUAGUCAAUGCUUAUACUUGAUAAAAAACGGCAAGAAACAGUGACAUAUUGUGCAUGUGUUUCUCCCAGCGAAACAUGCACUGUUCACUUUUGUAAAAAAAGAUAGAAAUAAAACAACAAAAAAUUCACAACAAAAUGCAACUUUUCACACUGCAAAAAAUUGAACUUCUCACUGUACAAUAUAAAGUUUUUGUUUCUCUUGUCCAAAAAAAGGAAUAAAAGUAAUAUGUUGAAUCUAUUUAUAAUAAAAACUAGAAGUUCAAAUUUAAAAAACGAAGAAGUUCAAUAUGUAUUACAAAACCAAGAAGGUUAAAAUGAAAAUAGAAAAGUUCAAAACCGGUUCGAAUUCAAAUUCAAAAUCAAGCAAACAAUAAAAUAUUUUCAAAUAUUAAAACUAAAAUGUUGGGGUUUUGCCGAAUAAUUCAUGAGUAAUAAUGGUGGAGAAACCAACAUUUCUUAUAAUAUUUAAAUUCACUAAAAUAACCAAAGCUUAGGGCAAAACAAUUAAUUUAAUGCCUUUUAUAAAGUUACAAUAAUAUAACUAAAUUAGUAGUGUGCCAAAAUAAUUAUGGCAGUGGCCUAAUUAGUAAUACUAAUUUAGGUGCUAACUUGGUAUUUUAUAAAACUAAAAUAAUAGAAACUAUAAAUGAAAAGAGUAAAGAAAUAAAAGAAAAAUAAGAAAAGGUAAAACAAAACCAAAUAAAAAAACAAAC